rnacentral:rRNA from 1 species
UACGUAGGGUGCAAGCGUUAAUCGGAAUUACUGGGCGUAAAGCGUGCGCAGGCGGUUCGAUAAGUCGGAUGUGAAAGCCCCGGGCUCAACCCGGGAAGUGCACUCGAUACUGUCGAGCUAGAGUAUCGGAGAGGUUGGUGGAAUUCUCGGUGUAGAGGUGAAAUUCGUAGAUAUCGGGAGGAACACCAGUGGCGAAGGCGGCGAUCUGGGGAAGAUACUGACGCUGAGGUGACGAAAGCGUGGGGAGCGAACAGG